GAGCUGGGUUCAGAACGUCGUGAGACAGUUCGGUCUCCUAUCUGUUGUGGGCGUUGAAUAUUGAGGAAACUCAUCUCUAGUACGAGAGGACCGAGAUGGACAAACCUCUGGUCUACCAGUUGUGCACCACGCAUCGCUGGGUAGCUAAGUUCGGUACGGAUAAGCGCUGAAAGCAUCUAAGUGCGAAGCCGUUUCCAAGAUUAAUAUUCGUUAUCAGGGUCGUCCGAGACGAGGACGUUGAUAGGCACUAGGUGAAUGC
rnacentral:rRNA from 1 species